rnacentral:lncRNA from 7 species
AUAACUCCGGUGGUAGGGAGAGCAAAGGAGUCGACGUCUCCACCGCCACCUCCAUUUGCUUCUAGAAAUAAAUGCUGUUAUUGGCAUUUAAUUGCUUUCCACCGAGACCAUUCAACUCCUGUGUGGGAAAUCUUUAUGGUUUACUAUUAUGUCUGAAAACUGAUGGACAGCUUCGGUUGCUGAGUGGCUGAAGUGUUCCAGGAUAAUUCAGUUCAGAUAAGUUUUAUGUUAUUCUUUCUACUUACUGAAUUAACUAGAAGUCUUUUGAAAGUCACCAUAAAAUUCCCUUGACUGAAAUGUCACCUGUCAGUAUAGACAAUGAUGAAUAGAAUUCGUGGUGGGAGCUGAGGGCAUUGGAUAACAGGACUUUUUUUUUUGUUGUUAGUUGACUCAGCUGAUGUGUCGGCUGUGGAUCAACAGAGGCUUCAUCAAUGCCCGUAAUGGAAAUAUACCACUUGCUUAAAGACUGGCUGCUGCUUAAUAGCUUGCAUGAAUCAGUGAUUUUCUUUAGAGUAUGAUUACGAAACUAGUUUGGUUCAUUGGUGCUUUGCCAUUGCUCUUAACUUCAGCAAGGUACCUAAAUACUUGUCCUUUCAGGAAUCGUCAGUUACUCACCAAACCACUUGUCUGAGAUCGGUAAAGAAUGUCUCAAAUCAACGUGAGGCAAUCGACAUCGCUUUGUGGACAGUUUUACAUUUGAAAGCCUUUCUUAGGAGUUGUUUGCCUUCGAAUGGGAGUGCCCAGCAGUGUUUGUUGGCUGAAGACUUGGCCUGGGAACAAAUCACCUUGAUAGUGGAGGUUGGGAGGUGAUACUAUUGUAUUCUGUGAAAGCAAAGUGCAAGCUGGCCUCUCCCUGCGUCCUCUUAUCUGCUGACUUAAAUUUGCAAGGCCUGGAGGGUAGGAAUCAAAGUAGUUCCUGCUGAGAUCCCAAAGCCAGAAGCUGUCACUCCAAAAGAGCUGGCUGGGCCACUCUGGACUAUAAGAGUUUGUACUGUCUUCAGUAGUCAUCAACCAAACAACAAAACCUUGGACGACCCACAUCUUCUGGAGAACAGUGCCUGACACCAAGAUGAAAACCACUGCACCACAUCUUGUGUUGGGCUGAUUUUUUUUCUUCAGACUGCAUUUCUGUGAUUCCUUUCAUCCAAUGGUGAUGGUGAUCAGUAAGUCUUCAUAAUCCUGUGGCACUGGAUAGCUUCAGUCAGAAACUGGAACCUUACUAGCUGGGUGAAUGCAAAAAUAAUGCAACAAAAAUACAAAUGUAGAGGACAGUGAGUAGCUUUUGGUUUUCAUUGUUAUCUUUGCUGUUGCUCUUAUCUACCUAUAUUAGGGAACAUUUCAUUAAAGUCCAGAAUUUUAUCUGUCAGCUUUUUCUUCACUAUCAUUGGCAUAAAGUAGCAAAAAGUGGACGGUAUUUUGACUCCAGUAAUCACGACUUGAUAAAUCUGUUAUAGGAUUUCAUUCCUUUGUACUUUUUGCUGAACUGUACUAUAUUUUAAAUAAUUUUCAGAGAAAUAUUUAAGUGUCAUAUCAUGUUUCCUGAUUGGUAUCACGGUCAAAGUAACUUACUAGCUGGCUCUCUUGGUCCCUGAAGUUUGAGAGUGAACAGUUUGCUGUGUACAGUUCUGUAGCAUUCUGCACUGUGUUAAAUGAAUCUCCUUUUCAAGGCUGGGAGCCAUCUCUUCUGCAGAUUGAAUAGCAGUGACCAGGCAGGAGAACAGUAGGAUCUGGAUUUCUUCAUAAGUGACUCUUUGUGCCUUUUUGCUGGUUGCAGAAACAGUUCUCCAGUUUAUCCAAAACAACAAUAUAUUGCCUCUGUGUAAACAAAUAUAAGCACUGGGACUCAUGGCCAGUGAAAAAUUAAAUGAAAUCAGUAGUUACACCACCCUGCUCCAAGCCUGGAUGAAUAAACGUGUUACACCAUUGCCU